GAUGAACGCUGGCGGCGUGCCUAAUACAUGCAAGUCGAGCGAACGGACGAGAAGCUUGCUUCUCUGAUGUUAGCGGCGGACGGGUGAGUAACACGUGGAUAACCUACCUAUAAGACUGGGAUAACUUCGGGAAACCGGAGCUAAUACCGGAUAAUAUUUUGAACCGCAUGGUUCAAAAGUGAAAGACGGUCUUGCUGUCACUUAUAGAUGGAUCCGCGCUGCAUUAGCUAGUUGGUAAGGUAACGGCUUACCAAGGCAACGAUGCAUAGCCGACCGGAGAGGGUGAUCGGCCACACUGGAGCUGAGACACGGUCCAGACGCCUGCGGGAGGCAGCAGUAGGGAAUCUGCCGCAAUGGGCGAAAGCCUGACGGAGCAACGCCGCGUGAGUGAUGAAGGUCUUCGGUUCGUAAAACUCUGUUAUUAGGGAAGAACAUAUGUGUAAGUAACUGUGCACAUCUUGACGGUACCUAAUCAGAAAGCCACGGCUAACUACGUG
rnacentral:rRNA from 1 species